rnacentral:rRNA from 1 species
AUUGAGUUUGAUCCUGGCUCAGAUUGAACGCUGGCGGCAGGCCUAACACAUGCAAGUCGAGCGGUAGCACAGAGAGCUUGCUCUCGGGUGACGAGCGGCGGACGGGUGAGUAAUGUCUGGGAAACUGCCUGAUGGAGGGGGAUAACUACUGGAAACGGUAGCUAAUACCGCAUAAUGUCGCAAGACCAAAGUGGGGGACCUUCGGGCCUCAUGCCAUCAGAUGUGCCCAGAUGGGAUUAGCUAGUAGGUGGGGUAACGGCUCACCUAGGCGACGAUCCCUAGCUGGUCUGAGAGGAUGACCAGCCACACUGGAACUGAGACACGGUCCAGACUCCUACGGGAGGCAGCAGUGGGGAAUAUUGCACAAUGGGCGCAAGCCUGAUGCAGCCAUGCCGCGUGUGUGAAGAAGGCCUUCGGGUUGUAAAGCACUUUCAGCGGGGAGGAAGGCGUUAAGGUUAAUAACCUUGGCGAUUGACGUUACCCGCAGAAGAAGCACCGGCUAACUCCGUGCCAGCAGCCGCGGUAAUACGGAGGGUGCAAGCGUUAAUCGGAAUUACUGGGCGUAAAGCGCACGCAGGCGGUCUGUCAAGUCGGAUGUGAAAUCCCCGGGCUCAACCUGGGAACUGCAUUCGAAACUGGCAGGCUAGAGUCUUGUAGAGGGGGGUAGAAUUCCAGGUGUAGCGGUGAAAUGCGUAGAGAUCUGGAGGAAUACCGGUGGCGAAGGCGGCCCCCUGGACAAAGACUGACGCUCAGGUGCGAAAGCGUGGGGAGCAAACAGGAUUAGAUACCCUGGUAGUCCACGCCGUAAACGAUGUCGAUUUGGAGGUUGUGCCCUUGAGGCGUGGCUUCCGGAGCUAACGCGUUAAAUCGACCGCCUGGGGAGUACGGCCGCAAGGUUAAAACUCAAAUGAAUUGACGGGGGCCCGCACAAGCGGUGGAGCAUGUGGUUUAAUUCGAUGCAACGCGAAGAACCUUACCUGGUCUUGACAUCCACAGAACUUUCCAGAGAUGGAUUGGUGCCUUCGGGAACUGUGAGACAGGUGCUGCAUGGCUGUCGUCAGCUCGUGUUGUGAAAUGUUGGGUUAAGUCCCGCAACGAGCGCAACCCUUAUCCUUUGUUGCCAGCGGUUAGGCCGGGAACUCAAAGGAGACUGCCAGUGAUAAACUGGAGGAAGGUGGGGAUGACGUCAAGUCAUCAUGGCCCUUACGACCAGGGCUACACACGUGCUACAAUGGCAUAUACAAAGGGUUGCCAAGCCGCGAGGUGGAGCUAAUCCCAUAAAACCGAUCGUAGUCCGGAUCGCAGUCUGCAACUCGACUGCGUGAAGUCGGAAUCGCUAGUAAUCGUGAAUCAGAAUGUCACGGUGAAUACGUUCCCGGGCCUUGUACACACCGCCCGUCACACCAUGGGAGUGGGUUGCUCCAGAAGUAGCUAGUCUAACCUUCGGGGGGGCGCUUGCCACGGUGUGGCCGAUGACUGGGGUGAAGUCGUAACAAGGUAACCAAU